UACGAAGGGGGCUAGCGUUGUUCGGAAUCACUGGGCGUAAAGGGCGCGUAGGCGGCCUGAUAAGUCGGGGGUGAAAGCCUGUGGCUCAACCACAGAAUUGCCUUCGAUACUGUCGGGCUUGAGACCGGAAGAGGUAAGUGGAACUGCGAGUGUAGAGGUGAAAUUCGUAGAUAUCUGGAGGAAUACCGGUGGCGAAGGCGGCAUCCUGGACCGGCAUUGACGCUGAGGAGCGAAAGCCAGGGGAGCAAACGGG
rnacentral:rRNA from 1 species